rnacentral:rRNA from 1 species
UACGGGGGGGGGCAAGCGUUGUUCGGAAUUACUGGGCGUAAAGGGCUCGUAGGCGGCCAACUAAGUCAGACGUGAAAUCCCCUCGGCUUAACCGGGGAACUGCGUCUGAUACUGGAUGGCUUGAGUUUGGGAGAGGGAUGCGGAAUUCCAGGUGUAGCGGUGAAAUGCGUAGAUAUCUGGAGGAACACCGGUGGCGAAGGCGGCAUCCUGGACCAACACUGACGCUGAUGAGCGAAAGCCGGGAGGACAAACGGG